rnacentral:rRNA from 1 species
CCUACGGGAGGCUGCAGUGAGGAAUAUUGGUCAAUGGCCGGAAGGCUGAACCAGCCAUGCCGCGUGAAGGUCAGUGCCCUAUGGGCGUUAAACUUCUUUUGUGCGGGAGCAAUAAUGGUCACGUGUGGCCAGACGAGAGUACCGUACGAAUAAGCAUCGGCUAACUCCGUGCCAGCAGCCGCGGUAAUACGGGGGUUGCAAGCGUUAUCCGGAUUUAUUGGGUUUUAAGGGUGCGUAGGCUGUGAGGUAAGUCAGCGGUGAAAUGCCCCCGCUCAACGGGGUGAAGUGCCAUUGAUACUGCCUUGCUGGAAUGCGGAUGCCGUAGGAGGAAUGUGUGGUGUAGCGGUGAAAUGCAUAGAUAUCACACAGAACACCGAUUGCGAAGGCAGCUCACGAAUCCGCGAUUGACGCUGAUGCACGAAAGCGUGGGUAUCAAACAGGAUUAGAUACCCCUGUAGUC